GUUUUUGUUUUUAUUUUUGCCUUGACAGCUCGUGCCCUCGGUCCUUGAUGGUCAACACGGAGGCAGGGACGGGCACUCUAUCAGCCAGAAAAACUGAUUUCCGCUGAAAGACAACCCUCAUGAAUGGCAACCAGCCUGCUCCUUCUCCUUCUCCUUUGCUGUGGCAUAUGUCACAGUGGCACGUUGGAAAAUUAUGAAUAAUAUCCGUAACUUUAGGCGAGACACACUCACACAAUGGGAUGUUGAGAUAUUCGAAGGCAGCUUGCAGUGAAAAAUCGAGGCGGCACUCCACUCCUUGCCACUCUGCGCCAAGUUGUGAUUGCUGUGUGGGGCGUGCCGUCAGAUACAACUUCCGACGACAUCCGACAGAUGUUUCUACCAAGUACAGAAGGGAGACAGGGAACAGAGGACACACGCACAGGAGUUGCGCCCGCUUGCAAAACAAUUGUUGGGCAAAUUUC
rnacentral:lncRNA from 1 species